CACCACUAUACUGGCACAGAGCUGGUACUAAAGUUUGCAACAUCUGCCAGGGACACCAUGCUAACGAGGCACAUGGUUCACCAUGUGGUCGAGGAGCUGGUAAAGCUGAAGGACGUGGAUGAAGGGACACCAGCUUCAGGGAGCAGUGAGAGCAUCACUGCCAGAUCCAACAACAUCGUCAACAAGGAGCUGGAGAAGUGUAUCGACUCUUAUAGUAAGAGCAUCUGGGCUGACACUUUCUACUGUGAGUACAUGAAGAUGUACCCAUCACCCCAGGGGAUUGAAGCCUUCUCAUUUGAUGAGGAGAGAUUUUUAGUGGUGGCCAACAUAAAUCGGCAGAAUAUUGCUGAACAAUCUCCAGCUAGAGAUGCUCCUCUCAGUGGAAGACUUUAAUGUGGAUGAAGUAGGGAGCAGUGGGUCUGUGGACUUGAUCCGGGCAAUCCCAGAGACCCCUAACCCUGUCAAAGUGGUAGACAUCACAACACCUAUGACCACUAAUCCAGUCAACCUUGAGGUUUUGGAUGAAACACUUGUCCUUCAGUCAGGCUUUGCCCCGGCACCCUGCAUUCCACCCCCAGGAUUUUCCCCAGCACCCUGCAUUCCACCCUCAGGCUUUGCCCUGACAUCCUGCACCGCAUCGCCAAGCUUCGCCGCUAAUGCCAUGCAGGGCUUUGGCACGAAAAUCAUCCUGAAACAAAUGGUCCUGCUAUUCUUGGAGAGGCACCCUCCUACAUCAGACGACCUUGAGUCAGAGUUCCUCACUAUUGCCGAUCAUAUCUGCACGCUGUUUCAAAGCAUCACUGCCAGAUUCCGCAACAUCGUUAAUGAGGAGCUGGAGAAGUGUACCGACUCUGACAGUAAGCAGUACUGGGCUUACACCUUCAACUGGGAGUACAUGAAGAGGUGCCCAUCAUCCCAGUGCCUGGGGAUUGAAGCCUUCACAUGUGAUGAGGAGAGAUGUUUAGUGGUGGCCACCUUGUUUGCAAAGAAAUUGUAA
rnacentral:lncRNA from 13 species